rnacentral:rRNA from 1 species
GUGGGGAAUCUUGCGCAAUGGGCGAAAGCCUGACGCAGCAACGCCGCGUGCGGGAUGAAGGCUCUCGGGUCGUAAACCGCUUUCAGCAGGGACGAAACUGACUGUACCUGCAGAAGAAGCCCCGGCUAAAUACGUGCCAGCAGCCGCGGUAAUACGUAUGGGGCAAGCGUUAUCCGGAUUCAUUGGGCGUAAAGAGCGCGUAGGCGGCUUGCUAAGUCAGAUGUGAAACCUGGGGGCUCAACCCGCAGCGUGCAUCUGAAACUGGCAGGCUUGAGUCUGGUAGAGGAAAGUGGAAUUCCCAGUGUAGCGGUGAAAUGCGCAGAUAUUGGGAGGAACACCAGUGGCGAAGGCGGCUUUCUGGGCCACGACUGACGCUGAGGCGCGAAAGCUAGGGGAGCAAACAGGAUUAGAAACCCGGGUAGUCC